rfam:Nicotiana sylvestris Nsyl_contig14259, whole genome shotgun sequence.
AAGAGAAGAACCAAUUAGAGUAGCUAAGGAGACCUGCCUGGAAAUCAAACAAGAAUGCUAAUUUUAUAUAUAAAAUUCAACAGCCUCAAGAUCGAAGCAGGCAAGUCAUCCUUGGCUAUCAAACGGUUCUUACCC